rnacentral:rRNA from 1 species
GAUGAACGCUGGCGGCGUGCCUAAUACAUGCAAGUCGAGCGAACGGACGAGAAGCUUGCUUCUCUGAUGUUAGCGGCGGACGGGGGAGUAACACGUGGAUAACCUACCUAUAAGACUGGGAUAACUUUGGGAAACCGGAGCUAAUACCCGAUAAUAUUUUGAACCGCAUUGUUCAAAAGUUAAAGAAGGUCUUGCUGUCACUUAUAGAUGGAUCCGCGCUGCAUUAGCUAGUUGGUAAGGUAACGGCUUACCAAGGCAACGAUGCAUAGCCGACCUGAGAGGGUGAUCGGCCACACUGGAACUGAGACACGGUCCAGACUCCUACGGGAGGCAGCAGUAGGGAAUCUUCCGCAAUGGGCGAAAGCCUGACGGAGCAACGCCGCGUGAGUGAUGAAGGUCUUCGGAUCGUAAAACUCUGUUAUUAGGGAAGAACAUAUGUGUAAGUAACUGUGCACAUCUUGACGGUACCUAAUCAGAAAGCCACGGCUAACUACGUG